CAGUCGCCACGGUAAUACGGAGGGGGCUAGCGUUGUUCGGAAUUACUGGGCGUAAAGCGUACGUAGGCGGCUUUGUAAGUUAGAGGUGAAAGCCUGGUGCUCAACACCAGAACUGCCUUUAAGACUGCAUCGCUUGAACGUCGGAGAGGUGAGUGGAAUUCCGAGUGUAGAGGUGAAAUUCGUAGAUAUUCGGAAGAACACCAGUGGCGAAGGCGGCUCACUGGACGACUGUUGACGCUGAGGUACGAAAGCGUGGGGAGCAAACAGGAUUAGAUACCCCCGUAGUCCCUGUCUCUUAUAC
rnacentral:rRNA from 1 species